rnacentral:rRNA from 1 species
GACAGAGGGUGCAAACGUUUGUUCGGAAUUACUGGGCGUAAAGCGCGUGUAGGCGGCUCGGCAAGUCGGGUGUGAAAGCCCUGGGCUUAACCUAGGAAGUGCACUCGAAACUGCCAAGCUUGAGUUCUGGAGAGGAAGGCGGAAUUCUCGGUGUAGAGGUGAAAUUCGUAGAUAUCGAGAGGAACACCGGUGGCGAAGGCGGCCUUCUGGACAGCAACUGACGCUGAGAAGCGAAAGCAUGGGGAGCGAACAGG